GGAGCCAGGGAGCGGGUGCAGGAGACAUCUACUGGCUGAAAGGACUCYGAGCAAGAGCUGCCCGGGCGCACACGCACAAUCACGACUGCUCGGGUAUGUGGAAAGAGAGAAGCCAAGCUGAGGCUAUGGACCCACACGUGGAUACUGAGCGCUACACCAGAUAUUUUGGUCAAGUUUGAAGUGACCGCUUUACCAUCCGCAUAAUGAAAGCUGAGAUCUUACGGUUGGACAGUUCUGCCCUCUCCCACCCCAUUUCUACAUCUAUUUCUCUCCUGUUGCAUUUCAAGUUCUUCCCCUCUGUUCUGCUCCUGUGGGAGAGACCUUAUUAAUACAUUCUCCUUUACAUCAGCUUGUGAUGUUUUUGAAGAUAGUUCUCAUAUCUCCCCUCAGUCUUUUGUUUUCUA